rnacentral:rRNA from 1 species
GACGAACGCUGGCGGCGUGCCUAAUACAUGCAAGUAGAACGCUGAAGGAGGAGCUUGCUUCUUCGGAUGAGUUGCGAACGGGUGAGUAACGCGUAGGUAACCUGCCUGGUAGCGGGGGAUAACUAUUGGAAACGAUAGCUAAUACCGCAUAACAGUAGAUGUUGCAUGACAUUUGCUUAAAAGGUGCAAUUGCAUCACUACCAGAUGGACCUGCGUUGUAUUAGCUAGUUGGUGGGGUAACGGCUCACCAAGGCGACGAUACAUAGCCGACCUGAGAGGGUGAUCGGCCACACUGGGACUGAGACACGGCCCAGACUCCUACGGGAGGCAGCAGUAGGGAAUCUUCGGCAAUGGACGGAAGUCUGACCGAGCAACGCCGCGUGAGUGAAGAAGGUUUUCGGAUCGUAAAGCUCUGUUGUAAGAGAAGAACGAGUGUGAGAGUGGAAAGUUCACACUGUGACGGUAUCUUACCAGAAAGGGACGGCUAACUACGUGCCAGCAGCCGCGGUAAUACGUAGGUCUCGAGCGUUGUCCGGAUUUAUUGGGCGUAAAGCGAGCGCAGGCGGUUAAAUAAGUCUGAAGUUAAAGGCUGUGGCUUAACCAUAGUACGCUUUGGAAACUGUUUAACUUGAGUGCAAGAGGGGAGAGUGGAAUUCCAUGUGUAGCGGUGAAAUGCGUAGAUAUAUGGAGGAACACCGGUGGCGAAAGCGGCUCUCUGGCUUGUAACUGACGCUGAGGCUCGAAAGCGUGGGGAGCAAACAGG